GAUAAAACAUUAUGCCUACUUCUCUCAAUGAAUACCUCAAUUCAAACCAAGAUCUACCCUUAUAAAAAAACACAUCUUGGCUGCAGAUCUGAGACAGGUUCAGCUUAAAACAGUCCCCGAACCUUGGUGAAAACUGGAACCAGAACUACAGCAGCUGAGCAGCCCUAGCAGCAGCCUGAGCACAGUUUGCAGCAUCCCUUUGCCUUUUGAGGACACAAUCAUUCUU